GACGAACGCUGGCGGCGUGCUUAACACAUGCAAGUCGACCGGAAAGGCCCUGCUUUUGUGGGGUGCUCGAGUGGCGAACGGGUGAGUAACACGUGAGUAACCUGCCCUUGACUUUGGGAUAACUUCAGGAAACUGGGGCUAAUACCGGAUAGGAGCUCCUGCUGCAUGGUGGGGGUUGGAAGGUUUCGGCGGUUGGGGAUGGACUCGCGGCUUAUCAGCUUGUUGGUGGGGUAGUGGCUUACCAAGGCUUUGACGGGUAGCCGGCCUGAGAGGGUGACCGGCCACAUUGGGACUGAGAUACGGCCCAGACUCCUACGGGAGGCAGCAGUGGGGAAUAUUGCACAAUGGGCGGAAGCCUGAUGCAGCAACGCCGCGUGCGGGAUGACGGCCUUCGGGUUGUAAACCGCUUUCGCCUGUGACGAAGCGUGAGUGACGGUAAUGGGUAAAGAAGCACCGGCUAACUACGUG
rnacentral:rRNA from 1 species